rnacentral:lncRNA from 1 species
CCAUACAUUUCUAGUUUUCGACGUGCUACUUGGCUACACGGGCUGUAGUAGAUUAGCAGUGGCGUGCACAUCAUAGAUACAAUAGUGUUCUGACUACCUAAAGACUACAGUUUUUACGUUUUAUCAUGUCCUUGAAAUGUUUUUUUUUCUUUUAUCUUUGAAUAUCGAUAUCCUAAGGAUGGAAGGUACCUAUGUAUAGCAACCUACUCUCCUGAUAAUAAAGCCAGCAGCGCUACCUGCAGUGCGCAGAGGCAGUGGCCGGCAUUAGUGGACUCCACAACAGCUAAAGCGCUAAAGCUUUGAAGGUCAAAACUCAUUACAGCGCCUCGGACACGUACGUAACCUCACCUUACCUCGCUUAUCGCUUACCGUCAACGCGCUUACGUCAUUUUUUAGGAUAGUGGAUAUUUUAGGGUAAGUAUUUGAGGCAAAUUGCAAGUCCUACACCUCUCCUAUGCUACCCUAACCUAGAGAAUCUAGAGACCAGUCUAGAGAGUACUAGGAUAUUUUAUUGCAAAUAUAUUGCUAUUUUACAUAAAAUAUCCUUCAGGCAAUAUGUAAUUUAUAUACCUUAAAAUUGAACAUUUAAAUUAAUAAAAAAUUCAGAUUAUUUAGUCGGAUCUUUUAUUUUUGCCAGGUGGUCGCAAAAUAUCUUGAAAAAGCUAUUCUUACAUGUGUAUCCUAUUACAAGUCUUUAACUUGACUCAAAUUCCUACUCAGAAACAUCCACCACCUCUUGAACCACAUGAAAUAACGUAAGUGCGUGGUCGGCGAGCGAUCAGCGUGCCGUGUCGGGGUGAAUGGCGAGACGGUUCGUGUCCGAGGCUAUAGCGGCCCAAGAUAGCUGACCAGGAGAGGGGAUAUGGAGCUUAAGCCCGCCACGCUUCUCCAAUGCGGGUUGGCGGGCCUUUGAUUCGUUAACAAUCAUUCAGAUGUGAAGGAAAAAGAACGAGGAGGCAGAGACACCCUGGGCAACGUCCUCGGGUAGGAGGGUCAGCAUGCACGGAAGAUAAAUUCG